rnacentral:tRNA from 1 species
GGAGAGGUACCCGAAGUGGCCCAACGGGGACCGGUUUCAUGGUCGGGUCAUCACCCGCGCAGGUUCGAAUCCUGCCCUCUCCG